UACGGAGGGGCGAGAGCGUAUUCGGAAUUAUUGGGUGCGUAAAGGGCGCGUAGGCGGCUUUGUAAGUUAGAGGUGAAAGCCCGGGGCUCAACUCCGGAAUUGCCUUUAAGACUGCAUCGCUAGAAUUGUGGAGAGGUAAGUGGAAUUCCGAGUGUAGAGGUGAAAUUCGUAGAUAUUCGGAAGAACACCAGUGGCGAAGGCGGAGACCUGGGCCGAUACUGACGCUGAGGUGCGAAAGCGUGGGGAGCAAACAGG
rnacentral:rRNA from 1 species